GCACUAUAUAUAGUGUUGAAAAGCUCUCGGACAUAAACACGCAGUUCAACUGCCUUUAAAAAACCAUACUUGAACAUAAACGAUUGACUGUAUUACAGAGAAAGUUACAGAUAUACAUAUGGCAAUACACCCAGCCGUUAUUUGCACUGAUUUCUUGAAGUUUCCAGUUUCGUUGCUUGCAAGAUUUGGCGAGGCCGGCAAUGAUAACCGUCAUACCUAGUGAACACCGUUGUAUCAUAUGGUUUUGGUCGCGGCGAAUCAACAAUUUAAGUACUAUUUUAACGUUGCAUAAAUGGAGCUAACAAUGUUUCUUGUCGACGUCUCGAGGAAAACAAAUCACAGACCGCAAUAUUAAGAGUAGGUACUCGUAUUACAUAUAAUUAAAUUCAGAAAUCGGAAGCUUUUGACAUGAAAUUUAGGGAGAAAACCGCCAAAUAGUAUACGAUGAUUCUAUUAUACGCGUCUACGCGUCUAUUAUUAUUAUUGCA